AAUUUUGAGACACAGAUAAACUUCGGGUGAUCGAGAUCAACUAUUUUCCUGCAUCCAGCAGCCACAAUAGUCGACGGUGUACUGCUACAGGAGGAGACAUUUUUCAGAAUAACCUGUCCCUUUCCUCUCAGGUUAUGAAAAGAUUACUUAAUUGUAUUAUUAUUCUCUAAAUUUGUAAUUUAGGACUCCGCAUGUGCUAGUAGUAGCAUUAAGCCUAUCAGAGACUGUAUGAAUUCAAGUUUUCAUAUUAAUAAAUGACAAGAAAAAAUUUUUAUGAGUUUUAAAUGGUUAUAAAUGAGGUAAUAGGGUUGAGCUGGGCUCCCCUGAUUUUAGUUUUCUGAAAAGUUAUGGGCUAAGUUGGCCCAAAAUAAAAUUAUAACAGUUUAAUUUAAAUUAUCUUAUAUGCAUAUUGGGUCUAAAUUGUGGGCCUGGUUAUGGAUUUGAGGAAUAGUUAGGCUUACUACGGGCCUCGGGGGCUUUAAGCUGGCCCAGGUCCUAGUGCCGGUCCGGCCCAUAGGUUGGGUCGUGACAAAGUUGGUAUCAGAGCUUAGGCUCUAGAUUCAUGGGAAAUAAUAUAAUUGGGAGUGUAAAAGGAGUCUUGUUAGGAUGUUACAUGCGGAGUAUAGGAUUCUGUUUUGUCUUUUCUGUAAUUCUUUGUUUCUAGAUUCUGCGUUAUACCUCGGGAAAUAUAAAAGUGCCUCAAUUAGUGUCUUGGUUUUCGUGGAGUACACAGAAAUGUGAAAUAGAGUUAGUAGACAUGUGAGGUCUAUCAUGAGGAUACGUACUCCAAGAAAUGCUAUGUUUCUGUCUGUAUGGCUUUAAAUAGUGUGCCCAUUUCGUGCAAGGCACGAGUACAUAAAAGUAAGUCCUGAAAGUACAGUUGCCCUAGAUAAGGAUGAGGAUACCACUGCUGGCAAUCAUCAGUAGAUGACCCAGUCAGAAUAAGUUUUUGAUAAUAGAAGAUUCAAGAGAGAUAAGAAAUUGGGAGACCUAGUCUGUCAG